UUAGACAAAAUAAAUGUCAAUUAGCCUAGCAGAGAAUGUCAAAUCAGAUGUUAUAACAUUAAAAAUGUUAAAACAUAAUUGUUAGGAGAUACAAACCAUCAUCAUACACAGUUGUGAUAGCUGAGAUAAUGAACAAGUCCAUGGAACUCAUUAAGAGCCCAAAAUAUUACAUAAAGGCAUCAGUAAGGACUGCCACAAAUUACACACAUUUAAAAAAAACAAUAAGUUCUUCAGCAUCCAAACAGCAGGGGGACUAGCUUCCAUAACAGCACACACAAACCG
rnacentral:lncRNA from 1 species